rnacentral:rRNA from 1 species
AACAAGGAUUCCCCUAGUAACUGCGAGUGAAGCGGGAAAAGCUCAAAUUUAAAAUCUGGCGGUCUCUGGCCGUCCGAGUUGUAAUCUAGAGAAGUAAUGCCCGUGCUGGACCGUGUAUAAGUCUCCUGGGAUGGGGCGUCAUAGAGGGUGAGAAUCCCGUCUUUGACACGGACUACCAGUGCAUUGUGGUAUGCUCUCAAAGAGUCGAGUUGUUUGGGAAUGCAGCUCAAAAUGGGUGGUAAAUUCCAUCUAAAGCUAAAUAUUGGCGAGAGACCGAUAGCGAACAAGUACCGUGAGGGAAAGAUGAAAAGAACUUUGGAAAGAGAGUUAAACAGUACGUGAAAUUGCUGAAAGGGAAACGCUUGAAGUCAGUCGCGUUGGCCGGGGAUCAGCCUUGCUUUUGCAUGGUGUACUUUCUGGUUGACGGGUCAGCAUCAAUUUUGACCGCUGGAAAAAGACCUGGGGAAUGUGGCAGCUUCGGCUGUGUUAUAGCCCCUAGUCGCAUACAGUGGUUGGGAUUGAGGAACUCAGCACGCCGCAAGGCCGGGUUUCG